GUCCAGGGUAGCCUAGUGGACAUGGCAUCUGCCCGGUAAGCGGAACACUGUGGUUUCCCAACCCUGGACA